UACGAUUGAUUGCAACUCUCUCUCUCUCUCUCGUCGAUUUAGGGUUUUAGAUUCAUUUGACCCGAUCGCACAUCCUUCAGAAAACUUCAUCGAGGCGAACAACGAUGUCUCGUGUGUAUGUUGGGAAUCUGGAUCCACGUGUUUCUGAGCGAGAGCUUGAAGAUGAAUUUCGCGUCUAUGGUGUUUUAAGAAAUGUGUGGGUUGCUAGAAGGCCACCUGGCUAUGCAUUCGUUGAGUUUGACGAUCGCAGGGAUGCACUAGAUGCUAUUCGUGCAUUGGAUGGGAAAAACGGUUGGCGUGUGGAGCUCUCCCACAAUUCAAAGGGAGGUGGGGGAGGCCGUGGUGGUGGUCGUGGACGUGGUGGUGGUGAGGACCUGAAGUGUUAUGAGUGUGGUGAGCCUGGUCAUUUUGCACGUGAGUGUCGCUUACGUGUCGGUCCACGUGGGUUAGGAAGCGGGCGCCGACGUAGUCCCAGUCCUAGACGGCGAAGGAGCCCAAGUUAUGGGAGACGGAGUUAUAGUCCGCGGUACAGUCCUCGUGGGAGAAGGUCUCCUCCACCUCGUCGUAGCAUAUCGCCUCGCAGAGGUCGUAGCUACAGCAGGUCACCUCCUUAUCGCCAUGCUCGACGUGAUUCACCAUAUGCUAACGGAGUCUAAGAAGGACCGAAAAGCAGGGAUGGAGCAAAAUUGCUGAAUGGUAACUGGGUAGCUCUGCGUUAAUAUGUUUCGUGAUAGGCUUUAUGAACAAAAAAGGAGUAUCAUUAAUUUAUAUUCAUAUAUGAUGACAUUUUGGUGUGUUGGACCUGGCAUUCGAUGUGGGACUGCACUUUAUGACCGUCAAAAGCGGGUGCUCUUGCGUCGGCUUAUUUUAUGCAGCUUGCUGAAAACUUAGAGGUUUGGUUAUCGGGUGAGAACCGGCCUUGGUCCUCCUCUACUUUCUGCAUCUUAGACUUCCGCACGGUUUAGCAUCUCGCAUCUUCUUCAUCUCUGCACUACACCCGCAUGUCGUUGCUCCUUGUGGGUCUUAAUGACUACUUUGAACGGAAUUCAAACCGCAAAUUUUGGUUCACGGUUUAGCAUCGUAUCUCCAUCUCCAUCUCCAUCUCUGCACUACACUCGCUUCUUGUUGCUUCUUUACUACGGCUUCUUUGAACGGUUAUUCGAACUGCAAAUUUUGGUCAUGAAACUGUUGGUAACUUUUAGUGACACCCCUUCUCUGCAACAAAGGUUCUUGGUAGUUUUAAGACCCUAUUUGCUUCCCUGCCUGCUGUCUGUGUGCGCGUGCGCCAAAGAGGUAAGAUCACUUUUACGUAUAAUUAGUGGACCGUUUCUAUAGACUUUUCGAAAGUUGGCACUUGUGGGUUUGCGGAGUGAAAUGCUGCUGCAAAUUGGUCGUAUUUUUGCUUGUUGACAACUGUCGACAAAUUGUAAAUAAUAGACUAAUUGUCGACAAUUAUGAAUUAUUGCGGAUGCGAGGAUCAUCAUUUUGAUGUCGGUUUGCAGUUUCUUUACUUGGUCCAUGUUUACUUACGAUUCCUGUGUACAUCGUACAAAACUAUUUGAUCGGAUUUUUUGGAUAACGUUGGCUUUUUGGGUCAGCUUAUAUGCACCGACUAAUUUAUAUGUGACCACAAAUGGUCUGGAAUCGUCGUAGGUGAACCUCCAUAUCCACGAGGGUGUUGGCAGCGUCUGAAUUUGAACCCGGGUAGAUGGGACUUUCUACUAUAUCCCCCUGAGGCUCAAUCAGCUUGUCAAAACCCAAGUGGUUAAAACUAAUCAUAUGAUGGUUGUCAAGAGUUCAUUUGAAAUGGAGUUGCAUUUUAAGUAAACCUGUAUUGGCAAAAUAGGUAAUAAUAUUUGUGUGGUUAUUUUAAUAAAAUAUUAAACGGCAAAAAAAAAAAAAAUAUAUAUGUUGAUUAAAACAUGUUCCUCAAUUUAUACCUAAUAUUGACUUUUUAGGGAGUUUGAGCCUCUCGGGGUUUCUUUUCAAGGGUUAUC